GACGAACGCUGGCGGCGUGCUUAACACAUGCAAGUCGAACGGAAAGGCCCUGCUUUUGUGGGGUGCUCGAGUGGCGAACGGGUGAGUAACACGUGAGUAACCUGCCCUUGACUUUGGGAUAACUUCAGGAAACUGGGGCUAAUACCGGAUAGGAGCUCCUGCUGCAUGGUGGGGGUUGGAAAGUUUCGGCGGUUGGGGAUGGACUCGCGGCUUAUCAGCUUGUUGGUGGGGUAGUGGCUUACCAAGGCUUUGACGGGUAGCCGGCCUGAGAGGGUGACCGGCCACAGUGGGGGGGAGAACGAGUCACGAGUAGGAGGGGAGGGAGAGGUGGGGAAGGUUGGACGAGGGGCGGAACCCGGAAGGCGCAAGGCCGGGGGCGGGCUGACGGCCUGGGGGUUGGAACCCGCUGUCGGCUGUGACGAGGGGUGGGUGACGGAAAGGAGAGGAGAAGCACCGGGUAACCACGCGCCAGCGGCCGCGGUAAGCAG
rnacentral:rRNA from 1 species